GAAACAAAUGUUGACUGUGCACCUGUGGUCUAUUUUAGAAAGAAAGAAAUGGGGAAUUUGGGGUGCUACAGUCUUACAGAGUACAGUAUCAGAUAUUUUUUCUAUAAAAUUUAUUUUGAUUAGUUGAUAUUUGUUUUUUUCCCUUCCUUUCAUUACUCUGUCUCCAUAUAAAUAAUAUAAUAAACCCUUCUAAUAUUCCUGAUUGAUUCUAAAUCUGAUUUACAAAUAUCUAGUCAUUUACAAAUUUGAUUUUAUUGUCAUCAAAUAUCCUGAUUUUAUUGUAAAAUAUUCUGAUUAGAUACAGAUGAUGAAUUACAGGUGGAUGGUUGUGAUUUUCAGAAUAAAUUACCCAUUGGUCAUUAAGAUUGAUGAGAUUUAUUAUACACAACAAGAAUAUACACAGCAAGAAUCGAACAGGUACAUAAGGAGAGACUCUCUCAGUCAGUCAGGAUCAUCGCAAGGGAUUUACAUAAGAGAUUUGACUAUUAUUUAUGAACAUCGCUUAUAUAAAAAAUCGCAAAGGUUAAGUUUGGAAGAUACAACUAUUAGAAGAUGGGAGGAAGACUCGCUAUUGGUUACUGAUCUACAAGUCGAAGAUUAACAAGUCAUACCUAUUCCACACAUCCUAUCGUAUUUUAGUUGUUUAUUUAAUUGUCUUUCUUUUAUUGUAGUUUUGUAAUAUCUUUGUUUUUAUUUUCAAUCUAAAUCGGCUUAAAAGAAAAAAGAAAAAGAACCGAAC
rnacentral:lncRNA from 1 species